rnacentral:rRNA from 1 species
UACAGAGGUCUCAAGCGUUGUUCGGAAUCACUGGGCGUAAAGCGUGCGUAGGCUGUUUCGUAAGUCGUGUGUGAAAGGCGCGGGCUCAACCCGCGGACGGCACAUGAUACUGCGAGACUAGAGUAAUGGAGGGGGAACCGGAAUUCUCGGUGUAGCAGUGAAAUGCGUAGAUAUCGAGAGGAACACUCGUGGCGAAGGCGACCUACUGGAACAUUACUGACGCUCAUGCACGAAAGCGUGGGGAGCAAACAGG